rnacentral:rRNA from 1 species
AUUGAACGCUGGCGGCAGGCCUAAAACAUGCAAGUCGAACGAGUGGCGGAGGGGUGAGUAAUGGAGGGGAAACUGCCUGAUGGAGGGGGAUAACGAGUGGAAACGGUAGCGAAUACCGCAUACCAUCGGAUGUGCCCAGAGGGGAUUAGCUAGUAGGUGGGGUAACGUCUCACCUAGGCGACGAUCCCUAGCAGGUCUGAGAGGAUGACCAGCCACACUGGAACUGAGACACGGUCCAGACUCCUACGGGAGGCAGCAGUGGGGAAUAUUGCACAAUGGGCGAAAGCCUGAUGCAGCCAUGCCGCGUGUAUGAAGAAGGCCUUCGGGUUGUAAAGUACUGUCAGCGAGGAGGCGUUACUCGCAGAAGAAGCACCGGCUAACUCCGUGCCAGCAGCCGCGGUAAUAC